rnacentral:rRNA from 1 species
GUCUUAAUUGGGCGUUAAGUUGCAGGGUAUAGACCCGAAACCCGGUGAUCUAGCCAUGGGCAGGUUGAAGGUUGGGUAACACUAACUGGAGGACCGAACCGACUAAUGUUGAAAAAUUAGCGGAUGACCUGUGGCUGGGGGUGAAAGGCCAAUCAAACCGGGAGAUAGCUGGUUCUCCCCGAAAGCUAUUUAGGUAGCGCCUCGUGAAUUCAUCUCCGGGGGUAGAGCACUGUUUCGGCUAGGGGGCCAUCCCGGCUUACCAACCCGAUGCAAACUGCGAAUACCGGAGAAUGUUAUCACGGGAGACACACGGCGGGUGCUAACGUCCGUCGUGAAGAGGGAAACAACCCAGACCGCCAGCUAAGGUCCCAAAGUCAUGGUUAAGUGGGAAACGAUGUGGGAAGGCCCAGACAGCCAGGAUGUUGGCUUAGAAGCAGCCAUCAUUUAAAGAAAGCGUAAUAGCUCACUGGUCGAGUCGGCCUGCGCGGAAGAUGUAACGGGGCUAAACCAUGCACCGAAGCUGCGGCAGCGAACGUAUCACCCAAGACAACUUUGCGGAGUUGACGAUUGACGGAGCGAAGCGACGUCAAAGCGUUCAUUAAAGUCGAGUUGGCUUAGGGAUACGUUCGUU